GCGGUAAUACGUAAGGUGCGAGCGUUAUCCGGAAUUAUUGGGCGUAAAGAGCUCGUAGGCGGUUUGUCGCGUCUGUCGUGAAAGUCCGGGGCUUAACCCCGGAUCUGCGGUGGGUACGGGCAGACUAGAGUGCAUUAGGGGAGACUGGAAUUCCUGGUGUAACGGUGGAAUGCGCAGAUAUCAGGAGGAACACCGAUGGCGAAGGCAGGUCUCUGGGCUGUAACUGACGCUGAGGAGCGAAAGCAUGGGGAGCGAACAGGAUUAGAUACCCUGGUAGUCCAUGCCGUAAACGUUGGGCACUAGGUGUGGGGACCAUUCCACGGCUUCCGCGCCGCAUCUAACGCAUUAAGUGCCCCGCCUGGGGAGUACGGCCGCAAGGCUAAAACUCAAAGGAAUUGACGG
rnacentral:rRNA from 1 species